rnacentral:rRNA from 1 species
UACAGAGACUCCAAGCGUUAUUCGGAUUCACUGGGCGUAAAGGGUGCGCAGGCGGCCGCAUGUGUCAGGUGUGAAAGCUACGGGCUUAACCCGGAAAUUGCAUUUGAAACUAUGCGGCUGGAGUGUUGGAGAGGGAAGCGGAAUUCUCGGUGUAGCGGUGAAAUGCGUAGAUAUCGAGAGGAACACCAAAGGCGAAGGCAGCUUCCUGGACAACAACUGACGCUCAUGCACGAAAGCGUGGGUAGCGAAAGGG